AGAUUCUCGGGCUCAGAACCAGAAUUUCUCCGUCUGAGGCUACUAUCUUGCUCUGGAGGAGGGAGUGAGAACUGGAUCACUGGUUAGCGUGGUAACUGUUUUGGACAAUUGCAUAGCCACAGCCAGGAACACAGAAGGCAGAGAGGCAGCCUUGAUCUGCAAGAGCUCCAGCUGCCGAACCCUUCAGCCCUCCGCGAGGAGACUCAGCUCAGAGCACAGCGUGUGACAGACACAUGGCUGUGCAACGCCGUCUAGAUGUCAUGGAGGAGAUGGUAGAGAAGACCGUGGAUCACCUGGGGACAGAGGUGAAAGGCCUGCUGGGCCUGCUGGAGGAGCUGGCCUGGAACCUGCCCCCGGGACCCUUCAGCCCCGCUCCCGACCUUCUCGGAGAUGGCUUCUGAGCCCUGGAGCUGGAGCCCAGCAGUUGGAGGUGGUGCACCUGCCAGGCAGCGCCCACAGAACCAGCCCUGUCCUCUCGACUUCCUUCCUUAGCUUCAUGUGAAAUAAAAGCUAUUCUGGUCUCCUCUGUGUCUGCUGACAGAGUAACCCGUUUAACUACAGCCUCCUCUCACUCCACUUCCAUGCCUGGAGGAAGCCUGCAACCCCCUCCAGGCUCAGACCUGGGGACACCCCCACUCCUGUCAUUUAUAGGGGCAGAUGGAGCAGGGGUUGAUUCACACAGAUGGGGGCCCUUUGAGUGGCCUUGCUUCUCAAAAUGUGGCCAUAGGUGAAAAGCAAGGGGAUCAGGGUCUCAGGACCCACCCAGACUGUUUAAUCCAAAUCUGCAUUGCAAUGAGACCCCCAGGGAUUUUAUGUGUCCAUUAAAGUGGUUUGUUGUUGUUUUUAAAAA